rnacentral:rRNA from 1 species
GACGAACGCUGGCGGCGUGCUUAACACAUGCAAGUCGAACGCAAGGACGGGAAGAGCUUGCUCUUUUCAGAAUUGAGUGGCAAACGGGUGAGUAACACGUAAACAACCUGCCUUCAGGAUGGGGACAACAGACGGAAACGACUGCUAAUACCGAAUAAGUUCCAAGAGCCGCAUGGCCCAUGGAAGAAAAGGUGGCCUCUACCUGUAAGCUAUCGCCUGAAGAGGGGUUUGCGUCUGAUUAGCUGGUUGGAGGGGUAACGGCCCACCAAGGCGACGAUCAGUAGCCGGUCUGAGAGGAUGAACGGCCACACUGGAACUGAGACACGGUCCAGACUCCUACGGGAGGCAGCAGUGGGGAAUCUUCCGCAAUGGGCGAAAGCCUGACGGAGCAACGCCGCGUGAGUGAUGACGGCCUUCGGGUUGUAAAACUCUGUGAUCCGGGACGAAAAGGCAGAGUGCGAAGAACAAACUGCAUGGACGUACCGGAAAAGCAGCCCCG